rnacentral:rRNA from 1 species
UACGAAGGGUGCGAGCGUUAAUCGGAAUUACUGGGCGUAAAGCGCGUGUAGGCGGUUGGUUAAGUCAGAUGUGAAAGCCCCGGGCUCAACCUGGGAAUGGCGAUGGAUACUGGCGGGCUAGAGUGCGGUAGAGGAGAGUGGAAUUCCCGGUGUAGCAGUGAAAUGCGUAGAGAUCGGGAGGAACAUCAGUUGCGAAGGCGGCUCUCUGGACCAGCACUGACACUGAGGCACGAAAGCGUGGGGAGCAAACAGG